UACAGAGGCCCCAAGCGUUACUGAGAAUCACUGGGCUUAAAGGGUGCGUAGGUGGCGCGUUAAGUCCGUUGUGAAAUCCCUGGGCUCAACCCAGGAAAUGCUUCGGAUACUGGCGUGCUUGAGGCUAGUAGGGGUCACUGGAACUGACGGUGGAGCGGUGAAAUGCGUAGAUAUCGUCAGGAACGCCAAUGGUGAAGACAGGUGACUGGGCUAGAUCUGACACUGAGGCACGAAAGCGUGGGGAGCGAACGGG
rnacentral:rRNA from 1 species